ACAAUCAACUACCCCACAAUCGACCUAAGCCUAUACUCCUCAAUCAUUCAAAUUUGAGAAAAUUACACCUAAACAUGUUUUUCAAUUUUCAAUUUCAAAAAUAAGAUUUAAAAUUUAUUUAUUCAAAAAUCAGGUAAUAAUUCCUCUUUUAGUAUUAAUGAUAAUAUUAUUAAAUUUCUCUCUUUACACACAACAGAUUAUUUUCUCUAUUUACUCUUUCAUCUCUCACUCUAUUCUAUUAUCACUCACACACACUCUCUACACAAAAUCUCUCUAAAAACACAUUGCCGCCCACCUUUAAGAUCUCCACUCCGUCUCUCCAUAGACAAUUGUCCGGUGACUGGGACGAUGAAGUAGGUGUGGAAUAGUAACAAGGAAGCCGGGAUUUUGACAUCGGACCCCAAUUCUUUCCUCUCCUCGUUCUACUUUUUGCUUACGUGUAAAUUGAAUUAUAGUUGAUAGAUUAUCGGUUUGAGAUCGUUUUCGAAAUUUUAGUCCUUCUUUCUAUUUCUAUUUCUAUUUUGUGAAUUUCUUUAGCUCCAAUGUGAUUAUAUCUAUGGGGAACGAAAUUAAAGGGCCCGAUGUGUGAUUUAAUGGCCAAGAUCACUAUUACGCCUCCCACUUUCAUCUAGACCUGAGAUAGAUCCACAGAUGUGUGCUUCUAUGCCUUUCUACUAAUUUCAUCUCCUAAUUUUUAUUGUUUUAAAACUUGAAUUUAAGCCCUCUUGACAUAUUUUUUUUGAGACCCCUUAUACGAACAUUAGAGUCAUGACUAAUUUUUUGUUAUUGAUUAUAUUUGUUUCUAUUUUUUAUUUUUUUUUGUCUGUCUUAUUGUUGAUAUCUUUCCUUUUCUCUUCUACAAACAUUAGAUUCUUAUGCCUUUUUUCAUUUUUCAUUCAUUUUUUGCAAAAAUAUCUAUUUUAGUUAAAUUAUAAAAAUUUAUAUUGGUUGAUUUAUAUUUAUUCUAUAAAGGUUUAUUAUAUUAAUAUUAUAUUUUAUUAAAUUAAAAUUUUAUUUUAUUAUUUAUUUAAUUAAGGACUUCAAUUUUUAUUUCUUUUUAAAAUAUUUUUUUACUAUAUGGGAAGGGAAUAGGGAAGGAAAAGGGGAAUUGUGAGGACCAACACCUAAUAUGUGAGAAUUUCAUGCUAUUAUAUUAGAUCGAUGUGAAUUCUAUUUCAAGUAUGUUAGGUUUCUAGUGUAUUGGCAAUUCUUUAGAUAAUUGGAUUAAUGUAAAAGAGUUGUAAAAGUCACAAAAUCUUUUGAAGUUGGUAGUAUGGUCUUUGAAGGAGUUCAAGAUGUCCAAAAAGAUCACAUAUGAUUAUUGGAAUGCAAUUAGAAGUUUAAAGGAUAUCAAAGAUCUGCAUAAGUUAUAUUCCAAAUUCUCAGUCCUAACUUGCAACACAUUUUUCUCAUAGAAAACAUUGGAAUUUGGACAAGGCUAUUUCUUAAAUAUUUGUAGCCCUCUGAGUGAGUUUUUCAACGCAUUUUGAAUCACCUAAAUCGAACAUUGGAGGAGAAGGUUAUGAUGCAAAUACUAACAAUUACUCAGCUAUCGCUAGUUAUUCACUCAAGCGACAUUUGUAUCCAGCCAAAAAGUAGGUUGCAAUUUGAUGAGUUUUAUACCGCCCAUGACACCUAUUUGCCCCCAUCUAUAAAUACUAUAGUCAUGGACGAAAAUUCUAGGGUUGCUCAUUGUGUUUUUACAUUUAUAACAUUUUCAUAUCGUUGUUCAAGAGAUCCAAGACGUAGUUCAUUAGUGAAUCCAUCAUAUUCAUUCUUGUGAUCCAACAACUAAGUUUUGGAAAAACAUCACAUUUUUGUAAUCUAAAACACCUGACUUCCUUAAUUUAUUGAGAAAUUGACUCUCUCAUUGGGAAAUUGAGAAAUGUGGAUUGAAGGUAGUUACAAGCACAAGAGCAGGCGAUUCUUGAUGUUUCACUUGGAGAGACAUUCUGUAUAAGACCAGAAGGCCGUAGGAGACAGCAGAUUGAGCUGAGGAGGUAGAUUAGGAAGUUUAGCAGGAAACUAGAUGCAUCUACGGCAUUAGAUCGCGAGACUGUUACAGCUGGUCUUAAUGGAUACAAGAGUUGGAAUUACUGUAUAUUCCCUGAACUAUUAAUAAUGGCGGUAACUGGUUUGGCCCUAGAGUUUUUCCCACAUUAGGUUUCUCUGUCAUCAAAUUUUGUGUUAUUUACUUUCCAACAAUUUAUUACAAACUUGGGUAUUUAAAUGUAGGGAUUAAUUGAAUUGUAU
rnacentral:lncRNA from 1 species